ACGUGCCCUGCUUUUCACCACCGCCAUCCCUUUUCUUCAUUUUAUAUACAUCAGCCUCUCAAUCUCUCUCUCUCUCUCCCUGUGAAAUCCUCCAUCUCUCCCUCUCCGCUCCUCUUUCUUUUCUCACCCAUCUUCCUCUCUUUCUUGGCAUCACCGUCCCUUCCCUGCAGCCGCCGAAUUAUGCCGCUGCCACCUCUUUCCGGCGACCACCAUAGCCCUGCACCAAUUAUAAAUCAGUGGAAUUGAAGACAUUGACCGAGGCAUUGAUCGAGAAGUGAUUGAAAUGGGUAUCCAGAAUUAGCCAAGUAGUGUUGCAAGUUGAAGUAGGGCGGAGAUUUGUUAUAGAUAAAAGUUUGUCAGAAGCUGGCAGAAAGGAAUGAUAUGGCGGUAUAUAGUAUUAUUAGAAAUCUGACCUAGACACCGGAGUUAAGGCAAGUACUUCUACCUUUCUCUCGCAAUUUAGAAGCAAGUAUUUCUACCCUACUCCUCUAGUACCUAUAGAUACUAAAACCUUCUUUAUAUCAUGAUUCAAAUUAUUUGCAAUUACUUUCUUGUGAAGCAUAUCUAGUACUUUUAAACCUUUUGGUUGAACGGAUAACACUUUUGGUAUCGACUCUACACUAUGAUAUGCAUAAAGAAAUUGUUUUAACAAAAUGUUGUUCUGGAUCUUGAAUUACAUGAUAGAACUGCAGAUUGUUUUAAAAAUUAAACUGUUGGGUUGUUUUUGCGUAAGAGGCUCGGGCACCGGCCCAGCGUGAAAGGUGGCUCCUUAAGCCCGGAUUACCGGAAUUCGUAAUAUUUGUCAACCUUGCUGAAUAAGCUUGGUUUAUGGACUAUAGCAUGACUGAUCAUCUGUUAUAGCCAGGUGUCCAAUUAAUUUUAAAGCCCAAUAAAAUUGUGAAUAGUUUAAAAAGAAGUUACCCUGCCUUCAAGAGAUAUUUGCUUAUACAUUCAUUUCUGCAUUUUUAAAUAUUUUCACUUCUUUAUUAUGGCAUUGCAGUACAACAAAUAUCAAUUUCAUUUUGUUAUUCUUGCUGAGCAUUAUUGCUCAUUCUUGCUAUUCCUUCUAACCCUUUUCUGCUAGGAAUAAAGAUGAUUCACUUAAGACUAUGCAACGAUUGCAAGAGGUUGACUUUCAAGCAGAUGGACAUGUAGAGUAUUUAGGACGAUGACAUUAAGACUAGAUGCAGUUGGAGUUCUGCAAUUCAAUUCAGUUGGAAAUUAGAUUUGUUUAUUUGGUUAUCAGCUACUCUUCUUAUCGAGGUUUAGCUGAUAAUGUAGUUUAAUUUGUAAAUAAGAUUUUAUAGUUUUAGUUUCUGAUUUCAAUGCUGUAGCCUGUAUGCGAUCCUGUUUUCAGGGGGUGAAAUUGAUUCUGAAUUAAAGACCUU